AACGAACGCUGGCGGCAUGCCUAACACAUGCAAGUCGAACGAUUGCCUUCGGGUGAUAGUGGCGCACGGGUGCGUAACGCGGGGGAAUCUGCCCUUAGGUUCGGAAUAAUAGCUGGAAACGGCUGCUAAUACCGGAUGAUAUCGCGAGAUCAAAGAUUUAUCGCCUGAGGAUGGGCCCGCGUUGGAUUAGGUAGUUGGUGGGGUAAAGGCCUACCAAGCCGACGAUCCAUAGCUGGUCUGAGAGGAUGAUCAGCCACACUGGGACUGAGACACGGCCCAGACUCCUACGGGAGGCAGCAGUGGGGAAUAUUGGACAAUGGGCGCAAGCCUGAUCCAGCAAUGCCGCGUGAGUGAUGAAGGCCCUAGGGUUGUAAAGCUCUUUUACCCGGGAAGAUAAUGACUGUACCGGGAGAAUAAGCCCCGGCUAACUCCGUG
rnacentral:rRNA from 1 species